rnacentral:rRNA from 1 species
UACGGAGGGUGCGAGCGUUGUCCGGAAUCACUGGGCGUAAAGGGCGCGUAGGCGGCCUGAUAAGUAGGGGGUGAAAUCCUGCGGCUUAACCGCAGGGCUGCCUUCUAAACUGUCAGGCUAGAGCACAGUAGAGGCAGGUGGAAUUCCCGGUGUAGCGGUGGAAUGCGUAGAGAUCGGGAAGAACAUCAGUGGCGAAGGCGGCCUGCUGGGCUGUUGCUGACGCUGAGGCGCGACAGCGUGGGGGAGCAAACAGG